AUUUUAUGUGGUCUUAAUGAACUGCAAAGGAAGAUGAUUUAUCUUAUUUUAUGCUUUUGCACCGUUGGAAUUCGUUUUCUGAUAGUGGAGUAAGUUUGUGUUUACUUUGAGAAAAUUAGAGUGUUCAAAGCAGUCUUACGGCUUUAUAUUAAAGCAUGGAAUGAUAAAUAAUGACAUCGGUUAAUUUUUGUUGGUUUGAGAGGCUGAUGUAAUGAUUUAUAGAGUUAGUCGGAGGUAUUAGUAUUUUGUCGUUAGAGGUGAAAUUCCGGGAUCGACAAAAGACUAACAACUGCGAAAGCAUUUGCCUAGAAUUUGCUCCUUGAUCAAGAACGUAAGUUGGGGGAUCGAAGACGAUCAGAUACCGUCGUAGUCUCAACUUUAAACUAUAUCAGCUAGGGGUUGGCAAAUGUUUAUAUGACUUUGUUAGAACCUUAUGAGAAAUCAAAGCGUUUGGGUUCCGGGGGGAGUAUGGUCGCAAGGCUGAAACUUAAAGGAAUUGACGGAAGGGCACCACAAGAUGUGGAUCCUGUGGCUUAAUUUGACUCAAC
rnacentral:rRNA from 1 species